AACGAACGCUGGCGGCAGGCUUAACACAUGCAAGUCGAGCGCCCCGCAAGGGGAGCGGCAGACGGAUGAGUAACGCGUGGGAAUCUACCUUUUGCUACGGAAUAACUCAGGGAAACUUGUGCUAAUACCGUAUGUGCCCUUCGGGGGAAAGAUUUAUCGGCAAAGGAUGAGCCCGCGUUGGAUUAGCUAGUUGGUGGGGUAAAGGCCCACCAAGGCGACGAUCCAUAGCUGGUCUGAGAGGAUGAUCAGCCACACUGGGACUGAGACACGGCCCAGACUCCUACGGGAGGCAGCAGUGGGGAAUAUUGGACAAUGGGCGCAAGCCUGAUCCAGCCAUGCCGCGUGAGUGAUGAAGGCCCUAGGGUUGUAAAGCUCUUUCACCGGUGAAGAUAAUGACGGUAACCGGAGAAGAAGCCCCGGCUAACUUCGUGCCAGCCGCCGCCGUAAAAC
rnacentral:rRNA from 1 species